rnacentral:lncRNA from 1 species
UGACAAAUAGCACAUAAGUCACAUCUGCUGGAGUAGGAUUGAAGGUGCCGGAAGCUCCAGAGCACGUGUCAGGGAUGGAUGGUGAAGUUCUUAGCAACUCUGCACACCUUGCCUCAUCUGCCAAAGGAAGAGAGUUAAACCCAGUGAUCUCUGCACACCCUCCAAGCUCCAACCUCAGAUGAACAUAAUAACAAGAGUGGAUGAGAAUCACAGCCAUGUUUAUUGAGGCCCCAAAAGAACCCCCGGAUGAUCACAUUUAGCCCCGCGGCUCUAUGCUGUCCCAGCAGGUAGUAAUAAUUCCAGAUAGUCGGCAGCCAGUGUAAGGUUGCCGAAAUUGCUCUGUGAGUGAAAGUAGCUCCUUUCAGGAAUCUAAAAUGCCUAUCCUGUGAAGAAUGAAGAUAUACCUUCAGUCUUUCAUUGUCUAACUUAGGAGGAAUAAAAGCCCUGACCAUAGUGCUUGUGGAUGUGCUGAGGUGUGUUGUGCCUGCCGCUCCCCGACCUGGACCAGCUUCAAGCUACAGGUGUGCUGGCCUUGAACGUGCUGCUGGAAGAUGUGAGGGAUGAGCGGACGGUUCACUCAAGCCCCCAUGAGUUGGCUCUGGCUCGACUGGGAUCUAAUAUUUUAGCGUGAAUCCCUGAAAGUGGAAUUUCUGGGUCAAAGGAGUUUAAAAAAUCCAAAUUGCAAUUCAUGUCUCCACUACUGAACCAAGAGAAUGUCCGGUGGGCAGAAGUGUGCGGUACCAGUGAGAUCUACAGCUCUGGUUCCUUGCCAGGGAUCAGAGGUUCCACAGCUUGCUCGAGUUUGUACAACCCAAAUACCAGAAAUUAAAGCAUUUCAUGGGCUCCUCAAAGCAUCGAGUUCUUGGUGCCAUGUCCAUGUCACCCUGGAAGAAAAGAAAGGGAGGAAGAGGAAGAGAAGAACACAGCCAAAGGGGGAAGACGUAGUAAAAGAUUCUAGGGAAAGGAAAGCAACCAUGGCGGCGGGAGAGAUACCCACAGAAAUGAUACAGUAAGUUCAUCCAAAAAUGGAAUAUAAAAGUAAAAAUGGC